rnacentral:rRNA from 1 species
UACGGAGGGUGCGAGCGUUGUCCGGAUUUAUUGGGUUUAAAGGGUGCGUAGGCGGCUAUUUAAGUCAGUGGUGAAAUCCUUCAGCUUAACUGGAGAACUGCCAUUGAUACUGAAUAGCUUGAGUAUAGUUGAGGUAGGCGGAAUUGACAGUGUAGCGGUGAAAUGCUUAGAUAUUGUCAAGAACACCGAUUGCGAAGGCAGCUUACUAGACUAUAACUGACGCUGAGGCGCGAAAGCGUGGGUAGCAAACAGG